GCUGGAGACUUCCUUCUCCCUGUGGCAUUUUCCCCGCUCCUCUGGCCGCCGAAGGAGUCCUGUGGUGCCGGGCAGGAAUGGGCUGCUUGGGGACCCAACGAGCUCCCAGAGCCUUUCCUGCUGCUUCCUCUACCCCUGUGUUUCGCUAGGCUCUCGAGAUGGACUCAGUUCCAGAUUGCCCAGCCUCACAUAUUCCUUCAUAGCAACACAAAGGGACUGAGACAAUAUAUAAGUUAACAUCUGCCAUGUAGUGGAGGUUCCAGAGAAAAAGUGAGAGAAGCUGAGUCUGCACCCUCAACAUGGAGGAAAUAAGCUCUCUUAGGACCAAGAACAGAGGACAGAGGAAGGACUCCAGCAUGAUGGGCACCAAGGGAUUUUGGUCCUUCUGAGAAAGAGGAGAGACAGGGUCUUCCUCUUUGCCUAAGCUGGAGCGCAUUGGUGUGAUCAUCGCUCACUGCUGCCUCAAACUCCUGGGCUCAUGCGACCCUCCCACCUCAGCCUCCUGACUAGUUGGGACUACAGAAUUGGUUCCUUCCAGUGAGUUCUUGGUCUCGCUGACUUCAAGAAUGAAGCCACAGACCUGUGCGAUGAGUGUUACAGCUCUUAAAGAUGGUGUGUCCAGAGUUUGUUCCUUCAGAUGUUCAGAUGUGUCCGGAGUUUCUUCCUUCUGGUGGGUUUGUCCUCUCGCUAACUUCCAAGAAUGAAGCCGUGGACGUUCACAGUCAAGAUCUAAGCAAACACACAAAUGUGAACAACAGGGAAAGAACCCAUUGACCUACCAAGACAGGCUGCCAACAGAAUUUUGAAGGCUUGCCAAGAUGCUUUUAUGGAGGUAGAGUGAAUGAGAUUCCGUAAGUGCAAAAUAAUCCUUUUAAGACUACCCAGAAAGUAAUAUAAGUGAACUAGUUAUAUAAGAUUCAGUGAGGACUACCAAAACAUUGGGAAGAAAUGUGGAUUUUAUCAUUCAAGGAAAUAUAAUUUUAUUGUAAGAUAUAAUCUUUGUUUUUGUAGUCAAAUAGAAACAUUCAUGCCUUAAUACAACGUUUGGUAAAAAGAACUGAAGAAGACACCAUAGAAGAUUUUAACAAACAAUGAACUCAUUAGCUAAAAGAUUUGUCAUGAAAUAAUGAUUGAUUUAGUUGUUUUCUAAAAUAUUUCUAGUGCCUAUUAGAUGUUGAAGGAGACUUUGAUCAUGAAGUGUGUUCUCUGAGGAGCUGCUAUUUUUAUUUUUAUAUUUGUUUGAAGUGAAUUGUCCUGCUAAUUCUUUAACAUAAAAUAUCUUCAAUUACAUGAUUCAACAUUUUAAAAAGUGAUUAAGACAGAAGAAUAUGUGCUGGGAUUUAUUUUUGGAUCUUUGAAGUAGCAAAGAGUAGCAGAACUCCUUAAUCCAUAGAGUGGUUAUUUUGCUGUAUGAUGACUCUUGUAUUUACUCCCUGAAUUACCCUUUCCACUAAAAAGUAUUAAUGAGACAUUAGUAGGCUAUAGAAAAAAAUACUUCUGAUCUACUUAGAAAUAUUCAUGAGGUUUUCUCCUGGUGGAUUCACAUCAAAUUUUAUUUUUUAAAACCCCAAGUAUUUUUAUUUGAUGAUUAAUAAGUAAGAUGGAGGCUGGUAGGUGGAAAUCGCCAGCAGGAAAAUAAAAUGCUUUGGCUAAGCCGACAACUGCUACUGUCCUCCUCUGUACAGACUCUCCUGCUGAAGACUCACGGAGGCUUAUUUCAAGUCUUCUUUAGUUCAUUACCUGCAUGUUCAAAUGGAGCUGGUACUGUGACUCACAGCUUUCUGUCCAAGAAUGCGAUUUGUACCUCUACAAAUCUUCUACACCUUCUUCAUCUAGUAAACACUUACUCUACAGGUCUCAUCUCAAAUCUAUUACUAUAUGCAACUAUAGUACAUAAGCAAGCCAUUUAAAAAUGUUAAAGGAAGAUAUGCAUUGAUAUGGGUUGGCUGUUUUCCCACCCAAAUCUCAUCUUGAAUCGUAGCUCCCAUAAUCCACACGUGUCAUGGGAGGGACCCAAUGGAAGGUAAUUAAAUAAUCGGGGUGGGUUUUUCCCAUGCUGCUCUCAUGAUAGUAAAUAAGUCUCAUGAAAUCUGAUGGUUUCAUAAUAUAAAGGGCAGUUCCCCUGCACAUGCUCUCUUGCCUGCCACCAUGUAAGAUGGGCCUUUGCUCCUCCUUUGCCUUCUGCCAUGAUUGUGAGGCCUCUCCAGCCAUGUGGAACUGUAAGUCCAUUAAAUCUCUUUUUCUUUAUAAAUUACCCAGUCUUGGAUAUCUCUUCAUAGGAGUGUGAAAAUGGACUAAUAGAUACAUAUAGGUACACAUACAUGUAUACAUAAAGCCAUUCCAAAAGACUUUGCUUCCUGAAGUUUGUAAAUGUAAACAAAUUUAUUGUACCAUCAUUUAGGUUACUACGUUGCUCACUAACAUAGAAACAAUAUCUAAAAUGGGUACUUAUAGGGUUAUUAAAAUAUAGUAUGAAUAUGGCUACUGGAAAAAAGUCAAAGAUAUAUUUUGAGGCCACUACUCUACGUCUCUUGAUGUUCUCUUGUACACAUUUGAUAUUGCACAAAAGCCAAAAGUUUGGACUCCUUUGAUUAAAGGCAAGGUCAAGUAAUCCUGCUGGUUCUACCUCUCCUCCCAUUUCUUAAAUGAAAGGAUGUAGUCAUAUAAGGUGCUGUUUAGUAAAAUGGUGCCGUGAAUUCAGCAUGAAAUGUCUGGGCAAGUGUUUUUCAAGUUGUCACAUAUAUACUAUAUUUAUCUUCCUCCUUUUCCCUCCUCAACCUCAGUCCCCAUCACCCAGUGUUUCAUAAGGUUUUACUUUCUGUAGCUUAUACUGUAAAACCAGGAGUUCCCUUCCUCCUCUCCCAAAUAUAACCUUUUCUAAUAAUAUUAAUUGCACUUUCCCUAACUAUACAUACCUCCCUGGAGAUUUUGAACUGUAAUUCUUUCUCUCCUCCAUUUUCCUUGAGCAUUUUUCAUCUAGUGGAAUAUUCGGUGGCAAAGCUCUCAUUCUGGAAGAAGUUUAGCCAUGUAAGCAUAGAAGAAAUAAGCCAACAAUGGUAAACAUAGUUAAUGCAUGUAGUUAAGUCUUCUAAACAUGUCACUUGAAUGAUGUCACAUUUUGCUUUUUCAAACUAGGAAUCAACAAAAUGGAGGAACAUUUGAGAUGACUUGCUUGGCAGAAGAGGAAACAGUUUCUUCAGACCUUCCAGCCACAGUCAGCCCUGGUGACAUUGCAUAUCAGCUUCUAAAGGGCCUCGCACAUUCCUUGGCUUGUGAUGUCCCUUCCCCAUCAUCAAAGACAGCAACGAAACUUCAGGCUACCAUACCUGCUUCAACUGUAGGAGAAUCUUAGUUCUGGAGAGUUGACCCUCCAGGCGAAGCAUUAGGCUUUGAUACAAUUUGUCUGGUACCGGCUGUAGAUCUGGUUUGGGCCCCAGACUAUCUUCCCUGUCCUCAAGAAUCAAAACCAACUUGGAAUGACUCCUGGCCCACUCAGCACCUUUCCGGAAGCCAGAAGAAUGAAGUGCCACACAUAUCAUCAGAGAGAAUUCCAAGGAAGAGGGAAUGGUCUAUAGUGUCUCAAGCCACAUUAAUCCUUCAAGAACAGUGUUAACUUUCUCAGGCUACUGGAACUCCACUUUUUGGAACUGUUAUAUUUACUGUUGGGGAGUGACUUUGGCACCAAGGAGAACUUGGCUCAAAUGAAUGGUUUUGGAUCACACAUCUUCAUGAUUUGGGAAUGAUAUGUGUGUUUAUUUUAUGAAAAAUGUUAGUAAUGAAGCAUUUAAAAUAUAUCAAAAGGAAAAUCUCCAAGAGUUGGUGAAUCAUGCUGUUGCCAAUAAUAGGCAUGUGACAUAACUGAACAUUUCAUCAUCUUCAGUAAAUAAUCAAGAUGACUUUCGCUCUUGUUGCCCAGGCUGGAGUGCAAUGGCAUGAUUUCGGCUCACUGCAACCUCCGCCUCCCAGUUAUUUUAUCAGUGGAAAUGCUUCAGAUCUUUCUAAAAUGGUGGUGCAGGUCUGCUGGAGUUUGCUGGAGGUCCACUCCAGACCCUGUUUGCCUGGGUAACACCAUCAGAAGCUGCAAAACAGCAAAGAUUGCUGCCUGUUCCUUCCUCUGGAAGAUUUGUCCCAGAGGGGCACCCGCCAGAUGCCAGCCAGACCUCUCCUGUAUGAGGUGUCUGUCAGCCCCUACUGGGAGAUGACUCCCAGUCAGGAUGCACGGGGGUCAGGUACCCACUGACGAGGCACUCUGUCUCUUAUCAGAGCUUGAACGCUGGGCCAGGAGAUCUGCUGCUCUCUUCAGAGUUGUCAGGAAGGGAUGUUUAAGUCUGCUGAAGCUGCACCCACCCACAGCUGCCCCUUCCCCCAGGUGCUCUGUCCCAGGGAGAUGGGGUUUUAUCUGUAAGUCCCUGACUGGGGCUGCUGCCUUUUUUUCAGAGAUGUCCUGCUCAGAGAUGAGGAAUCAUAAGCAAUUAGAUCUUUAAAAUGACUUUACAUUAGCCUACUUUCUUCCCAUAUGUACCAUAUAUAUGGUAUAAUCUGUAUGGGAAAGGAGGCAUUUCAAGGUUUAAAAGAAUAUAAAUUUUGGAUUUAAUGUUUUUGAUCUUAACAUAUUUGUGUCUCAACAGGGAAGACAAUUAGAAAUGUAACAAGAGGGUUCUAUUUGAUUCAUUUAAAAAAUGGAAAGUGGCACCCAGGGUGAGGCUGGCAUGUCAAACAAUUACUGAGAGCAAUGCCACCAUUUGCCUUUGUGUGUGUGUGUGUGUGUGUGUGUGAAUUAGGAUCUGUUUUUUAAUGGUCACUCUAUUUACAUAGUAACAUUCCUUGAAGCAAUAUAUGCAGAUUCAUUCUCGACAUAAGUUUUUUUGCUUUUGCUAAAAUAGUUUUUGCUUAAAAUUACUCCCUCUCUUUUCUGGCUACAACUACUUCCCAUCUUCUCCUUGAUUUUUUCAAUGACUUAGGAAAAGAUUAACAUGAUUUAAGUCCCGUUUCUCAUGACUGUAAUUACAAGACUAGUUUAGUUCCACUUUCUUGUAGACGAAUUCCUACAUUUUGCUGAUGUUUUGGCCCAUUCUUAUAAACUCCACUGUCUGGGGAGCAGGAAGCAUUCUGACAAAUUGUCUCUUUGGGAACAGAAGUAUAUUUUAUUGAGUCAAUUAUCUUGAUAAAUCACGUUAUAUUUGAGUUUUUGUAGUUUUGUGGAUAAACAUUUUUACUUGGAAUCCCUUUGUUGUUCACUGUGUUAGCACCCAUGAUUCAAACAAUCCUUGAUCUUGUCAUUAGUAGUAUAUGUAGAGAAGAAUUCACUGUAGGAAUUUAAGAAGUGACUUUUCAACACAGCUUCUCUAAUACAGUAUUUAAUAUCCCACACAUAAUUCAAAAUAAAAGUAAGAAAUAAAAGUCUAUUGGAAAGACUUAGCACAAAAUUCAGUGUAAGAUUCCAUGUAAGAAAUAUUGAUUAGAACAUAUUCUACGAGAGUCUAGAGAUGAGGUUUAUGUCUCAAAUGUUUGUUUUAAGCUUAUUAGAAAUACCAUCUAUUAGUAAAAAUUACUUCUUUGGAAUGAGAUGAGAAAAUUCUGAAUAUGGACUCAGAUGCCAAAAUAUGUUAAUAGCAUAAAAUACAGACAUGAACUGAGAAGGCGGUUUCACCAAAGACACAAGAGAAAUUAAAUCACAUACAUUUUACAAUGUAAACUAAAAUAGACUAUACAAAAAUACCUUGCUAACAGAGAAAUGGGUCAUCAGUCUGUUGUUGUUACUUUUUUUGUUGCUGUUUCUUAAUGGUUACUUAAUACCUACCUGUAGUGCAAUUAUAUGUUGUAGAAUUCUGUCACAAAAAAAAGGCCUAAACCAACGGGAUGACUUAAAAGAAAAAUAAACAUUUCAAAGAUUCAAGUAAUUUAUCAGGAAAUACUGAAAGUACAUCCUAUAAUUUUUUUUAAAACUUGAAAAUUGCACCUCACAUUUUGUCUGGAGAGUUAGGCAACAUCUGUAUUUUUCAACUUUGUCAGUUAUUCAGGACCUAUUACAGACCACACAACUUUGAGCUUUGAAAGAAAUCCACAGAUAUAUAAUUUAACUCAUUGUGUAGCUAAGGAAAUAGGACUGAAGAAAUUAAUGAUUUACUGGACAUCAAGUUACAUGUAAGCCGAUUUUUAACCUAGAUUUCCAAAUGUCCACUCCAAUGCUUUCACCACUAUUGCCUGGUAGGUAUCACAUAUUAUUAAGUUUGUUUUGUGUUUUAUGGAUUAUAUUUAGCAUAAUUCUGAGACUUAGAAGAGGUUCAAUAAAUGCUUAUUACAUGUAUAAAUGAAAAAUGGCCUGGAGGUAGCAUAAGUCAAUAUUCCAUUUUUCAUCAUAGCUUUCAUCAAACAAAUCUUAUAUUUAUUCCUGGAAUCUAUUGCACACCACAAAUCAAAUGUGCAUAGCAAAUAGAUUUUUUUUAAACCUAGCCCGGCCAAAUUGAUCUUGAACUUCUCCGUGCUUGUUCAACAAUUCUGGUGCAGAGUUUAAAAAACUUGUAGGUUUUAUUUUGAGGUUACAAGUUUCAGUCUGGGACUGAAAAGAUAUAAUAGUAAUCUGCAAAGUUCAAGGAUGUGUAAUUCUGGGAGCUCAGAAAGAAUUCAUAGCUCUUGUUCUCAGGAGCUCUGCAAACAAAGAUGCCAAAGGCAUAUCAGAUUGCCUUCUAAUACAGGGAGUAACAAGUAACAAUGACACAUUGAUUGCUUACUUAUGAAAAUUAUUUCCAUAAUGAUAUAAUAUUAGAAGACAAAUUCAGCUGCCUGACCUGCACAGGAGAUUGAAUUGAACGUAGGGUGUUAAAUCAGAGUGGAGUAGGGUUUGAAAAAACAGAAUAAAAGCAAUACCUAGGAAAACUACUGGGGUAGGGCAGAACAUGAGUUCUGAAAUAAGAAGAUCUGAACUUGAAAUGCUUCUUUACUGUGCAAUGUAGACAAUAUAAUCUGCUGAGCUCAAUUAGCUCAUGUAUAACCUGGAGUGAAGAUGCCUGUCUUGUACGGUUAUUGUAAGGAUAAAACAGGAUUCGGGGGAGAACCAGCCAGUGUAGGCAUUACCCAUUUUUGUGUUGUUUCAAAUAUAUUUUUUAUAUUUUAGAUACGUGUGUGUGCGUGUGUGUGUGUGUGUAUGUAUGUGUGUGUCUUCAUUGCUACAUUGAACAGUUUGACCCUAAGUAACUCACAAAUAGCAUUCUAGAGGUGCUUCAAAAAUACUAAGGAAGUCUAACCUUCUAGAUGUUAAAAUACAACUUUUAUACUGGUUCUACUUGCCUUCAAUGGAAAUUAUUGAAGAAAAAAUCAGCUGGGAAUGAGAAAAUAAUAAAACUGCUUUGAAAUGAUGAAGUAAAGAAAGUAGCUUGGAAAAAACAUGCCUGAAGGCAGGUCACAACUUGAAAUACAGUUACUAUGUUCCAUAAUGGGCAGAGUAAUAGAGUGUGUCUAAAGUACAACCAAAGUAGUCUAGUACACCACAAUAUCACAAUAUCCAGUAGUCCCCCCCACCUCUCUCUUUAAGCUCCCUCUGUCCUUUCUCUCUCUUUUCUGUCUUCUCUCUCUCUCUCUCCUCUCUCUCUGUACACUCUCUUUCUUCUCUCUGACUCCUCCCUCUCCUCUCUGACUCCUCUCUCUCCUUUCUCCUCCACCCUAUUCACAGGUUGGAUAACGUUUCUGAUUUAUUUGACAAAGGAUAUAGCUAUUCAGCUAGAAUGCAUGAGCCACUGAGAGCAAGUACGAAGCCAGUACACCUUGGCGGAGCUUCGUGAGGCCCAUCAGAUUCUCAGGUUGGAAUGCCAGGAAGUGUUGUUAGUGUUAGGAAGAUUCCAUGUGUAAGGCAGGAGCUCACUAGAUCUGAAGAGCUUAACAUAUGGCUGUACCAUAACUCUUUUUCAAUAGGGCUUACAAUGUUCUUUAGGGCAGCAUGUAGAUUUAAUAUUUCUAUUAAAGGGAAUGCUUGCAGACAUUAGGAGCCUCCAGGUUUUUAAGUCAACACAGCAUCAGGACCAUAUUGUUAUCCUGUGAAGAGCAAGGUGGCUGAUUUCUCUUCUUAUAUCCAGAUACAUUCUGGAUAAUCCAUUCCCCACAGUUACAGUCUGACUCUGGAUUUUGGAAUAUCUUUUUAUGAAAUGGAUAGGUCUGAUAAUGAAUUGGGUAAUUGGGUCUUAGGACUAGAAUCUUAAAUCCAUUCUCAAUUUUUAUGAAGUCACCAACCUUUUACACACAUGCUUUAAAAAAACCUGUCUACGAACAGAAACUCACUCCUGUGCUUAUCACCUGAUAGAAGAACAAAACUGAAUAUAAAACUCACAUAAUUUGUAUUGCUCAGUGUAUAACGCAUUAAAAACAAAUUUAUUUUUCUUUGAGGAAACUUUGUACUGCAUUCCCCUUUUUAAGAUCAUCAACUCGUUCCCCCUUUAAAUGCCUAAAUCAACACUAAUUAGAUUCGAGCAGCCAUUUCUUCAUGCUGGCCUUUUAUUUUUGUCCUCUUAUUUUUUCCCUUAACUCACCUAAAUCUUCCUCUCCUUUUUUAUCUUUUCUCCCUUCCUCCCUCCUUAUUGCACAUAAUUCAAAUAUCAAAAAUAUAAAGUUAUUUAAUGAAACAUUGCUUCCCCACUAGCUCUCUACUUUCUCAGUAUAUAUCUUGCCUCCUUCAUUACUCGGGUAAUCACUAUCACUUGUUUCUUUUUUCACUUAUAAAGAAUUUUUAUAUAAAUGCAAACCAAUAAAACAGGAAAUUUCAUUUCGUCUUUUAAAACUACAAGUAAUAACAUAUUAUACACGUUUUAUUCAACAACAGAUUGUAUUCAACCUUCUGCUGUUAAGAAGAGUUGCAAUAAAUAACCUCAUACAUGCAUCACUUCACACAUAUUAAUUAUAUCUCAAGAUAAUUCCUAGGUGUCACUUUGAUAAAUAUUACCAAAAUGCUCACCAAAGAUGCUGUACCAAUUUAUACUCUCAUCAGCCAUAGAUUAAAAUCUAUCCCAAAAUUCUUCCAGUUGAAUAUGUCAUGAACUUUUGGAUUUUUACCAAUCUGAAUGGGAAGAGGGAAACAUGUUUUUUCAGUGUUGUUUAAAUCUGUAUUUCUGUGUUGUGAAUAAGGUUAAAUAUCUUUUAAAAUAUUUUUAAAAAACUAUAUUUGCAUUCCUGUGAACUGUCUUUGCAUAUUCUUUGCCCACUUUUUUCUUUUGGGCUGUUGAUGAUUUUCUUAUCAAGUGGUAGGUCUUUAUAUGCCAGGAAGAUUAAGCUUUUGUGACAAAAAUUGGGAAUAUAUUUUUAAAUUUAGUUUGCCAUUUGCCUUUUUGACUACAUUGAUAAUGUUUAUUUUAUGUGUUGCCAUGCAAAAAUUUAAUUUUUAUGUAGUCAAAUGUAUUCAUUUUUUUCUCCCUACAGCCUCUGAAUAUUAUAUCAUAAUGAGAAAGUUUUUGUUUCUAAACUGAGGCUAUAAAUUAAUUCUUUCAUGUUUUCUUCUAUGAUUUUGUAUUCCAUAAUAAAUAUUUAACUUAUUUAAAUAUUUCUUCUAGGCCAGGUGCGGUGGCUCACACCUGUAAUCCCAGCACUUUGGGAGGCUGAGGCAGGUGGAUCACCUGAGGGCAGGAGUUUGAGACCAGCCUGACCAACAUGGUGAAACCCCGUCUCUACCAAAUACAAAAAGUCAGCCUGGUGUGGUGGCACAUGCCUGUAAUCCCAGCUACUUGGGAGGCUGAGGCAGGAGAAUCGCUUGAACCUGGUUGGGGAAGUUGUAGUGAGUCAAGAUUGUGCCAUUGCACUCCAGCCUGGGCAACAAGAGCUAAAAUCCGUCUCAAAAAAAAAUAAAAAUAAAUAAAUAAACAAAUGUUUCUUCUAGUAUAUAGUCCAUAUUCUGAGAUAGGCACCCAAUUUUAUUUUUUCUCAUUGGCUAUCUAGUUAUACCUACAUCUUGGUAUUAUUAAAAAGUCUAUCUUUUGGAGACUUCCGCUCCUGGGAAGAUGGAAUAGAGGUACAUUUCCCCCUUUCUCUCCCUAAGGAAAACUAAAAUUCUUGGACAUCAUUUGUAAAAUAAACAUGAGAAGACUCUGACAAGCAGAGACAAAGAUAUAAUAAUAAUGUCAUUGGAGCCCUGGAGUGAAGGAUAAAGAAGGCAUUGCUAAAUAAUUAAUUUAAGAAAUAAUGGCUGACAAUUUCUCAAAUUUGUCCAAAGCCAUAAACCUACAGAAUCAGGAAGCUGUGUGUAUUCCAAUUAGGGUAAAUCCCAAAAAACCACACCAAGACACAUGAUUAUCAAGCUUGUAAAAACUAAAAACGGGAAAAAAUCUUGAAAAGACCACAGUUACAUUAUCCCAUUGAGGGGAGACUUCUUAUCAGAAACCAUGAAGGCCAAAGGGGUGAUAUUUUGUUUCUCUCAGAAUUCUAUAACCAGCAAGCAUGUAAUUUGGGCUUUUAGAUAUAUUUAAGAUAUAUUUUAUCACAUUAAGAUGAGUCUACCUAAUACUGUAUUUUAAAAGAUUAUAUUCCAAGAGUGGAUUUUUAAUUGUCAAUCUUUGUGGAACACUUAGUUUAAUGUUGUGGUUCUCAAAGUUUUGGCUUCAGAACAACUUGUUUAUAACCUUAAAAAUUAUUGAGAACCCCAAAGGCUUUUGUUUAUUUAGUCUGUAUCUACCAAUAUCUUCUAUAUUAAAAAUUAGAACUGAGAUACUUAAAAAAUAUGUAUUAAUUUAUUUCGGAAUAAAGAUAAUAAACUCAUUACAUAUUAACAUAAAUUCAUAUAUUUAAAAGUACACUUUUCAAAGCAGAAAUGUCUCAUGAGAAGAUUGGCAUUGCUCUACAUUUGCUAAUCAUUUCAAUGUCUGACUUAAUAGAACACAGCUGGAGUCUCAUGUAUGUUUCUGCAUGCAAUCUGUUUUAGUAUAUUAUUUUGGUUGAAGUUUAUGUAGAAAAUCUGGUUUCACGCAGAUAUAUAGCUACAAAGUACAGAGUAUUUGAAUAGAUUUUUCAGAUAAUUGUAAAUAUCCUUCUUUGACAUGUCACUGAAACUCAACAUUAAAUAUUAAUAUUUAAAUAUUUUUAAGUAUUAACAUAUAUAUGGAAUAUUAAACCAUAUCAAUGAAAUUUUGGUAUUAUGUUACAUUAAAGUCCAUUGUCCAUUUUGUACUUCAAAUAGAUCUUUCCUCUCUUUGUGCUUUUGUGAAAUCACACUUUGGUCAUUUGAAAAAUACAGGUUCACUGACUUACACAGAGUUUCUAAAUAUUGACAUAUUUUAUUAAAUAACAUAAAGGAGGCUUUACUGACAUCAUCAAUGAUCUCAUCAGAAAAAUCUUCGCAUAUUGGAAAACUGAGAAGCUCAAAGUAGUAUAUAGAAUUUUUUCAAGAUUCUAAUUUCUGCUUAGUGUUUUUUCUUUAAGAGGCUCACUUGGUUCAUUUUUGAAAGUAUGUCUCCUAAAUAUGAGAAUCAGAUUAACCAUGGGCUGUCAAUUAUUCUUUCAAGUAAAGAUGGUGCUUCAUGAAAAGAAAAUCUGGUUCCACUUACAGCUGAAACAAUUGUCCAAGUACAUUUCCUUAGGAUAAUUAUCAUUCCUUGGUAUGUAGAAGUAUUCCAUGGACCUCCAUUUUGUUAUACAGAAUUUUGAAAAGACAUUCCUCAAGGACUGAAGUAUAAUAAGGUUAGGAUUUUUAAAAAUUUUUAAUUUUAGUGGGUUUAUAGUAGGUGUAUAUAUUUAUGGAGUACAUGAAAU
rnacentral:lncRNA from 1 species